CAGUCGUCCCCAGGUCCCUUUUAUUGCGGUGCCAGCAAUGAGGGGGUGGUCGCCUCGGAGGUCCGCAGAGGCGGGCUGCUGUGAGCCCGCCCCUUAGGCUGGCGCACCUCCUGGCCCCGCCCCCCGUGGGUCGGAACUAGGGUGGGCCAGGGAGGGGGCGUCUAGCCCAUUCGUGCUGUAUCCCUCCGCCCCCCUUCCCGACACCCUUGGUGAGAGCGGUUCGUGCCGCAUCCUGCGCAGCCCCUGCCCAGUUUGGUGCUGCAGCGCGGGGGGGCGGGACGCCUUUUUGCGAUUCUGACAGCACGCUAGGUGGUGGGAGUCCGAGUGAGGAGCUCCGAGAAGAGGGGGAGGACAACAACCUGCACCUUGAGCCUGUGAAGGCAAGUGGGUUGUCGUGGGGAGGGGUGGGGGGCCCCCACUGUCGCCCGGCUUACAGCCUGCCCGGACCCCAGCCUCUGGCAGCCUGGCAAGGGGGAGGCGACCGGGUCGUACCCUGUCCGUGACAGAGGUGCGCAGCGCCGCGGGAUCCCUGGCGAGGAGAGGCAGUGACCGGUGCGGGCCGGGCCCAGGGCAUGGGGGCUGGCGGGAGAGGCUCCCUCGGAUCCUGUGGAGGCGAACUGCGCCAGCCACUCCGCAGCCAGCUUUCCAGGCGCCCAUGACCCGCCCUCGACGGUGUUGUGCCGGGAGAGAGCUGUGGGGGGAGCCUGCUGCGGAAGAAAUGGCGGAGCGGGAGCUGGGGUGGGGGUACCCGGGGAGGCCGCCGGGGCGAGAGCGGGGAUGGGGCUUAGGAGCUCUGUGCUCAAUUGGCGGAUGUGGUGGGCCGGUGGCGUCUGCUAUUCCAGGGUGUGACUCUUCUCCAGCUAAAGAACUGUUCUUUGGUGUAAAGGAUAGAAUUUCCUGA
rnacentral:lncRNA from 1 species